UACGUAGGUGACCAGCGUUGUCCGGAAUUAUUGGGCGUAAAGCGCGCGCAGGUGGUUCCUUAAGUCUGAUGUGAAAGCCCACGGCUCAACCGUGGAGGGUCAUUGGAAACUGGGGAACUUGAGUGCAGAAGAGGAAAGUGGAAUUCCAAGUGUAGCGGUGAAAUGCGUAGAGAUUUGGAGGAACACCAGUGGCGAAGGCGACUUUCUGGUCUGUAACUGACACUGAGGCGCGAAAGCGUGGGGAGCAAACAGG
rnacentral:rRNA from 1 species